rnacentral:miRNA from 1 species
GGAGGAUUGCUUAAGCCUAGGAGUUCAAGGCUGCAGUGAGCUACGGUCACACCACUGCACUCCAGCCUGAGUGACAGAGCAAGACCCUGCCUC